GGGAGUGUAGCGAAGAUGGCAAACGCGACGGUCUGUAAAACCGUUCCCACGUGGUUCACAGGUUCGAUUCCUGUUACUCCCA
rnacentral:tRNA from 1 species